GUUUUUUUAAAGUGGAAAAAUUCACUUUAUAGUUGACAAUACCAUUCUUCCUGUGGAUCAGAAUAUUUCCAUAAUACCUCUACCUGUCGUAAUAGAUCAAAAUGGGGUUGUGUCAGAUCGACACUGGUGUCAAAUUUUGUCAAACAGUAUGAAGAGUUUUAAACAAGUCUUUCGUGGAUUGUCCCAUCUCAGAUGUGCGUGGGGACAAGGGGCGAGUAGAAGUACCGUUAUGCAUGAUAUUUGUAGAUGAUAGAGCUCUGAUAGGAGAA